AAACGAUGUCGAUUUGGAGGUGUUCCCUUGAGGAGUGGCUUCCGGAGCUAACGCGUUAAUCGACCGCUGGGGAGUACGGCCGCAAGGUUAAAACUCAAAUGAAUUGACGGGGGCCCGCACAAGCGGUGGAGCAUGUGGUUUAAUUCGAUGCAACGCGAAGAACCUUACCUACUCUUGACAUCCAGAGAAUUUAGCAGAGAUGCUUUAGUGCCUUCGGGAACUCUGAGACAGGUGCUGCAUGGCUGUCGUCAGCUCGUGUUGUGAAAUGUUGGGUUAAGUCCCGCAACGAGCGCAACCCUUAUCCUUUGUUGCCAGCACAUUAUGGUGGGAACUCAAAGGAGACUGCCGGUGAUAAACCGGAGGAAGGUGGGGAUGACGUCAAGUCAUCAUGGCCCUUACGAGUAGGGCUACACACGUGCUACAAUGGCGUAUACAAAGAGAAGCGACCUCGCGAGAGCAAGCGGAACUCAUAAAGUACGUCGUAGUCCGGAUUGGAGUCUGCAACUCGACUCCAUGAAGUCGGAAUCGCUAGUAAUCGUAGAUCAGAAUGCUACGGUGAAUACGUUCCCGGGCCUUGUACACACCGCCCGUCACACCAUGGGAGUGGGUUGCAAAAGAAGUAGGUAGCUUAACCUUCGGGAGGGCGCUUACCACUUUGUGAUUCAUGACUGGGGUGAAGUCGUAACAAGGUAACCA
rnacentral:rRNA from 1 species